rnacentral:lncRNA from 1 species
GAGAAUCUAUAAAUCUCUGUUCAGCAAUAUCCUAGGAUCAUAACAAAGAAAUCCCACUGACAUUAAGGCUUUUACAACUUCUUGAUCCAGCUUUCAAUGAUGAGUGGUUCUCCAGCGAAGUUAGCUUUAGCUGUAUUAGCAAUAUACCUUCUUGUGGGUGCUUUUCCUUCAACUUCUGCAUCAGUUCCUCAUGGUAAAAACUUCUUAAUUCAUUGUUAACAUGAUAAACUUCUUCCAUUCUAUGGUUUACCAUUUAUUCAGUUGGAUUCUGCAUUACAAAUGAUGUUUUGAUUUUCUUGGCUCUAAGUUUAAUUUCGAGGAUCUUAUUGUCUAAAAUAAAUCCAAGUGAUUAAGGAUCUUUAUUGUCUAUAACAUUUCUUGCUUUGCAAUUUUCCUAUGAUGACUUUAGGUGAUCAGAAGAGUUUAUGGCAUGUUGAUUGUGUACAUGGCUUGACAAGGAUACUUGGUAAAAAACAAGGCAACUAUGGAUGUCAAAAUUCCAUUGUUGGCAAGAAAACAGUGCCCCUUCAGAGCCUAAAAGUAACAAGUAAAUCCCCUCCGCCGCCACCCACAAAGAAUACGGCAACAUUUUAUACCCUAUCUCCUCCAAUUGCUGCAUGAUACAUUGAUACCUAUGCUAUUUAUGUAUUCUAUGGAUUGUUAUGAUGUUUGUUAAUUUGGUGUGUAUUAUUAUUUUUGUCGAGAGCAUAAAAUUUGAGACCUACUCUUACAAGCUAUGAAAUCUUGGUGCUCUAUUCAUCACCAAUUUAGUAACAGAAUCGUAACAAAUCGUUCAUGCAACUGGAAUGGUAGCUUAUGGGACAC